ensembl:misc_RNA Y_RNA Y RNA
GGCUGGUCUGAAGGUAGUGAGUUAUCUCACUUGAUUGUUCACAGUUACAGAUCAAACUUCUUGUUCUACUGUUUCCCCUCUUCUCACUACCGUACUUGACUAGUCUUUG